UACGGAGGAUCCAAGCGUUAUCCGGAUUUAUUGGGUUUAAAGGGUGCGUAGGCGGCCUAUUAAGUCAGGGGUGAAAGACGGUAGCUUAACUAUCGCAGUGCCUUUGAUACUGAUGGGCUUGAAUGUACUUGAGGUAGGCGGAAUGUGACAAGUAGCGGUGAAAUGCAUAGAUAUGUCACAGAACACCAAUUGCGAAGGCAGCUUACUAAAGUAUGAUUGACGCUGAGGCACGAAAGCGUGGGGAUCAAACAGGAUUAGAUACCCUGGUAGUCCACGCCCUAAACGAUGAACACUCGAUGUUGGCGAUAUACGGUCAGCGUCUAAGCGAAAGCGUUAAGUGUUCCACCUGGGGAGUACGCCCGCAAGGGUGAA
rnacentral:rRNA from 1 species